UCCGACGGAACCCAUCUUUGCGAAUUGGUUUCCAGGUUUUUCUUCUUGUGGUGGUAUUUGGUUUCUGACGUAUUUCACAGGCAGAUAUCAUCAGGAAAAAAUAAUUAAAAUUUAUUAAAAUGACAGAUCUAUCGGAUUUUCCAAUAGGUCCAAUUGUUGGUGCUUGUAUGGCAGACACUAGCGUAACGAAAACAGCCGAAAUGUUUGGUGUAUCAAGAAGUACCGUCUCAAAAGUAAUGACAACCUUUGAGAAAUAGGGAAAAACUUCCUUGUCAAAACAAGACUCUGGAAGAAAGCCAAAACUUUCAAAUAGGGACCAUCGGACUGUUACGCGAAUUGUUAGAAAGGAUCACAAAAGUACAGCUCUCAAAAUAACUACAGAGCUUAAUGACCACCUUGAGAACCCAGUUUCCACAAAAACUGUUUGCUGGGAGCUGCACAAAGCUGGAUUUUAUGGGAGAGCUACAAUCAGAAAACCACUACUUUCAAAAACAAAUGUUGCAAUGUGUUUAGAGUGGAGUAAAAUCCUACAGAAUUGGUCCCCAGAGCAGUGGAAAAAUGUUAUUUUCUCAGAUGAGUCAUCCAUUACCUUAUUUUCGACCACUGGCUGAGUAUACAUGUGGAGACAGCUAAAAGAAGCAUUUGACCCAGACUGCCUUCUUCCAACUGUUUAACAUGGAGGAGGAUCUGUGAUGAUCUGGUGGGCUUAUCUUGGAAAUUCGCUGGCCAAGUGGUUUCCCUUCAUGGCAGAAUAAAUAGUCAAAACUAUUUAAGCAUUUUAUCUGAUCAAAUUCAUCCUGUGGUUUGGGAACUGUUUCCGGAGGGAAGUGCAAUCUCUUAGGAUGAUAAUGCACCAAUUCACACAGCUAAAGUUGUUACUGAAUGGCACGAGGAACAUUCUAGUAAAGUUGAACAUCUUAUGUGGCCACCACAGUCCCCAGAUCUCAAAAUUAUUGAGCAUUUAUGGUGCAUUUUAGAAAAACAAGUAAGGAGUCGAUAUCCUCAAGAACUGGAGACUGUUUUAGCUGAAGAAUAAACAGAAAUUCCUUUAUAAGCAAUUUAAACUUUGUACGAGUCCAUACCUUGUAGAAUUCAAGCUGUAAUUACUGCCAAAGGCAGUCCUACCCCAUAUUAAAAUAAAUUCGUUUGAAAUUUUAA